GCUUUGUCAUAUUUGAGAGUUUCCAAGCUAAGCAGAAAGAGCAUAGAAAAAAAUUACUUUUUUGUGUGCAAAGAUUUGGAUCAAAAUAAUUCACAUGCAACCAAUACCAAAUCCUCAAAUUGUUCUUAGAUAUAAUUUUUCCUAUUGCUUUCCAACUGCAUCUCUUAAAAGAUCUGCAUUACUCCAAUAACUCUUCACUUCCCUCACAUAUUUACAUGGUAUGCCCUUUAAGUUUUACUUCACUUGAGAGCCUUUGCAGUGGGCCAAAUAUGCAAUUACCUCUAACUUCUGCUUACAUAAUUCCUAGCAGUAGCUGAUGUUAUUUCCCAAUAGAUGUUUAUUUUGCAUACAACGUGAGCAGCAUUGCCUUGCUUCUGUUUGAGACUUGCCAGCCAGAGAGUAGAUGUAUAUUUGCCCCACAAAUAAUGUCUUUAUUGUUGCCUGUUGUCAUCCACAAACACCUGAGCAGCAGGGGCAUCUUGUUCAGCUUAAGUUACCAGCCUCAUAAAAAACAACGAGCACUUACAGAUUGUAACAGUCCUGGAAAAAUUAGGAAGUGCCUCAGCACAUCUAGACCACAGUUUAGCACACAAAUCUUUGUUUACUGCUCAGUACUGGGAACUUACAUCCACCAACUUACAUCCAUCUUGAGCCCAUGACCCAAGAAACUUCCUGCAGGUAGAAGAGUAUUUUGGAGAGCUGCCCACCUUACACACUCUUGGUGACAGGCAAUUGAUAAUACGAAUGGAAUAUAACAAUGCCUUACUUAUCCAAGUAUGGGAACAAAGAGUUUCAAAGAAGUAGACAACUGAAUGUAGAAGUAGACACCAGAUGCUAAAUGUAGCUGGAACCAGUGGAUAAACAGAUAUUGAGGAAUAUAGUGGUUUUGUGGCAAAGCAAUGUAAUGAGAAACAACAGUGCUAAGAGAUUAUUUUUAUGGCAAAAUCAUCUAUAACCCUGGGGACACUCCAGUGACCACUCUGGUAACCACCAGGCCUCCAGACAAGACUCUAGGACCAUUAAAGAACUUCCAUUAAUAGGUAGAUGCAUGCAAAUUAGUUCUAGGGAUAGUGAUGUUUAUGUAUCAGCCAGGAAGUACACGGUAAUCAAUAUGUAUAGUCAUAAUGGAUCACUAUAGAAUUGACUGUAUUCCAGUACUGCUUGUGGUCUCCUACAUGAAUACCACCUCAGCUCCAGCUCUGAAAUGAGUGUUGUACAAACUACCCUCUCCUUACCUGUGAUUUGAGCCCAUCACUGACUUACAGUCACCCUUGGAAGGGACAAAAGCAGAAUACCAGGUCUACUAAAAUGCAGCAGGCCCAGUUUCAAGUGGCAGACACCACUGAUCGGACACAAAUUACACUAGCUAAGAACAUGAGACACUUUUCCUAAGAAAAAUACUAUUCUUGUUAGCAUGGAAAGAGUACUUAUAAUUCAUACAGGAUAAUGAACCAGAAAGCAGAAGUUAGUGACUGCUAGCCAAAGAAAUGUUCUGGCAUCAGAGAUAAGGUACAUGCUAUACCCUUGAACAGUGUGUUCCUUGGUGCUUACCAGUUUUACUGCUCUUAGUCAUCUCCCUACUUAGAGACCAACACAAGGCAUUCUUUAGACCCUUCCUCUAUUGUUUUACCUGCUCCUUUCACAUACAAAUGCUACAUUCAUAAUUCAUCCAGAGUAAUUGCAAUACUCUUACUACAGAUCUCAGUUGGGAAGCCAAAGCAAUAAACCUCUACGUGUGUUUAGCUUCUCUAAGUUAAUGUAAGAUGGAAUAUCUUUCAAAAUCCCCAUGAAAUGUCAUUGCCUCUGGUGAAUUGUUCCAGCAGUCUCAUGCUAUCUCUGGAUAAGUAUAUAUUGCAAAAACAAAAAAGCAGGUACUUUUGGAAAAGGCAUUCUCAGACUACCUUUUUGUCACUCUUCGUACCAUGUGAUACCUGCGAUGAACUAUCCAUGGAAGUGCCAUAAAUAUUAUUUUCAAAAUAAAAUUACGCAGUCUACUCUUGUUGACCUCAAAGAACACAAUAUGUUACACUUGCUACAUCAUUUUGAAGAACUCAGGGAGGUUUUAUAAUGGGUAGUCCAAGAAAACCAGAACUUCCAUGAGUAAUUAGAAACUCCUUAGUACAUGCCAUGGGCUAAAAGAUAUUAUGUAAGAAAAAUACUGUAAUAUAUAGAUAGUUAACAGUCACAAGGUUUGUAGUAUUAAAAAAAUGGAAGCCAUUCUGAAGGUUUCAAGCUGAAUAUGAUAGAUGACUAAGAUUUAGUCUGUGUUAUAAUAAAAGUCUUCCAGUUGUAAACAAAUAAUUAAUUGAAAAUGACUUUGGGGUGUCCUAAUUCUUCUUUGUAGGAGGCCAUUUAGGCAGAUAUCCUUAUCUGUGUAUCUUAUUCCAAGACAGGAAAAGAUUUCACCCUUUACAAUGAGACAUUCCAGGCACCUGGUAUAUGUGAUGCAUUAAACACGUCUGAGAACUGCAGUCCCCUACACAGGGAUGUCUGUAGGGAUCCCUCAUUAAAGCUGUCAAUCUGAAGCUCUGCAGCUGGGCUGGCUAAAGCUUUCAAGACACCACACAAUACAUGAGUUCAAAAUAAUGGAAAAUUAAAUCCUCACUGAGUGAAUCCAAUAAUCUUUUGUGCCUGGAUAACCAAGCCAUCAUUGUGUAAGUGAAAAAAAACAACAACUGUCAAACAAGACUGAGUAGAAACUAUUAAAUUGUUUUACUGCUAUUUAAACUCUGUCAAUGUUUCCUUUUCUUAUAUACAGCUCAAUGACCUCCUGGCUCCUUAAGCAGUAAACAGAGCUCUGAAUUACAAAUCAAGUAAGAUUUACAAUUACUUACUUCAGCAUAGGUCCUUCUGGUGUCAGAACCUGAAGGGAAUCAACUAUAUUUAGGUAAACCCGAUACAUCACUGUGACAGUAACACUGCCAUAAUUAAGCAAAUAGUAGUAACUGUAAUGCAAAAGCUCUAUGUGUGUGUGUAUGCGUUUGUAUAGUCUCUAAAAAAAUUAAACUUUGGACAAGAAUGUAUGCACAAUCUAUUCACUGACCCUAAAUCAAAAAUGUCUGUUAUGCAUAAGUAUCUUGAGCAAAGAUUGUCAAGACGCCAUAUCUGCAAAACGCUAUUUUAUUAGAAAACUGUAUCUUGAAGGAUGUUUAAGAGAGAAAGGCACUGCCUGCUGGAAUAUCACCCAGCCACUGAGUCAUGUAACUUUUGGUCAAUAAUUGUAUAACAACCAUUGGAAAUGGUGUGAUCUUUAUGUUCCAAACUGAACUGGUUAUGUGUAUGCCAUUGUUUCACAACCAGGUAUUCUGGCAUUCUUUAAUGUUUUGUUUGCAAGUGUUAUCUUGCUAUUAUUCAAGAAAACAAACCAGGAAUGCCUGCAUAGGAUCAAGCAUCCAGCUCUUGAGGCCAGUUCUGAGCAGUGGGCCACCAUCCCCCAGCCAACUCCCCCCAGUUUUAUUGCUAAGCAUGACGCCAUAUGGUGUGGCAUGUCCCCUGGGUCAGCUGGGAUCAGCUGUCCUAGCUGUGUCCCCUCCCAACCCCUUGUUUUGUAUCCAGAUGUCAGCACAGGCUGCCAGUCAGAUCAGAUCAUGGUGAUAUUGCAAUAUUCCUUUUCAGCUUGUUACAGUUUUUAAAAUUACUAUUCCAACAUGCACUCUGGUACCUUGUUCCUUGCCAACAUAAUUCUCAGUCACGUUAAUACUGAGCAAUAACAAGAGUUAGCACCAUUGCUAACAAAAUUUAACAGUUCCAAGAAUCUCCCUUGUUAAGCACAGCUAAAAGAGGCAGCGAACAGUGAGAGCAGCAGUGUGUGGGCUCGUGCUUCUAGAUCUGGGGCCCUUUGGGAUCAUUGUGAAGGGACAUCUAAGAAGCCUUUGGGAAACUUGAGGUUGCCUAAUACUGUAGGGAAUAGACAGGAAGCAAGGCUAGCAGGGCUAGCAGAACUGUCAGUUCUUUGAUUAAAGGGAUCCUUGGAGGUUUUGUUCCAGCUGGCACUGAUUAGAGAGGGUCUGGUCCCCCACUCAGCCUGAGGGCUAUUUGAGAGCUGGGUCUAAAACACACAGGCCUUUUGGGGCAUUUGGUGUGGGAAGGGCUGCUGCCUUAUCUCAUAGCAGCACACACUUCCUCAGCAGUGGUGGGGGUGUGCUACAAGCUGUUGUCCUCAGCAGCUUUUAGAAAAUUUUUCCCUGUAACAUUGGAGGUCUCAAUCCCGAGAGAUCUUCAGUAGGUGGGUGCUGGUGUGGAGGAGUGGGAGAGACAUACCUUUUGAAAUGUUUCAGUGGGCAAAGGAGCUGCAGGAGUCAGCUAUGCAUCAACAGGGGUUGUGAAAGAAACUGGACCCUCCCUGAGGCCCUACAGCUUCAAGAAACCAUAGAGUUAUGCACUAAAGGAGGGGCAGGCUGACUCUAUCCAUCAGGCUGGGAUGUAAAAAACUCUCAGGAUGGUGAAAGCUGGAAACUUGACACUCCUGCCUCUAGAAGGAAGGCUUAUGCUCUGCCUGCACAUUUGGAAUGGGCCUGUCUGCUGACCUCUUGUCUGGGGCAACUGAAGUGAUACGCGGAAUAAAUAAAUAGACUCCACAACUCGAUGUAGUUAUGAAGUGGGUAUGUAUGACAGCGCAUGGCACAAGUGAGAUAACUCUCCGAAAUCUUGUGCCCCGAGCUGAA